rnacentral:tRNA from 1 species
GGCAGUAGCUCAGUGGCAGAGCACUUGCCUAGCAUGUGUGAGGCACUGGGUUUGAUCCUCAGCACCA